UAUAUAUACCAUUUUUUCAUAUUAAUAUUAUCUCAUAGUAUUAUUCUUAAAAUUUUAGACAGAAUAUUUGUAUUUCUUUUUCAGACAAUGGCCUUAAAACGCCAGCGAAGUUAGCAGAACAAACAAGACGACCAAGAUUUCUUUGGAAAUCUCAUGAUUGGUCAGUCUGGGCCUGCCCCUAUACCCUAUAUAAGAAAUAUGAGACCACGAGAAAGCGAAACUAUUUAGCAAAUGUGAGCAUACUCUAUGCAGAUUUGAUAUCAUCGCGACCAGCUAUAGUUAAACACAACGCUCAAGAGCAGCACAACCAUCCAAGAAAUGGGAAAUCAACAAUCCACUCCAUCUCCUUCCUCACAAGUGCUCCCGGAGCCUUGGAGAAAAAUGGACUGUGAAAAAGAUGAUAUACUGAGAAAAGUGAAAGAAUUCAAGCCCAGCACCGAGGUCCUCAGAAUUAUGCUGUAUGGACCGACUGGCGUUGGGAAAUCAU